rnacentral:rRNA from 1 species
UACGUAUGGUACAAGCGUUAUCCGGAUUUACUGGGCGUAAAGGGAGCGCAGGCGGCGCGCCAAGUCUGAUGUGAAACCCCGGGGCUCAACCCCGGGCAUGCAUUGGAAACUGGCGGGCUGGAGUGCCGGAGAGGUAAGCGGAAUUCCUAGUGUAGCGGUGAAAUGCGUAGAUAUUAGGAGGAACACCAGUGGCGAAGGCGGCUUACUGGACGGCAACUGACGCUGAGGCUCGAAAGCGUGGGGAGCAAACAGG